rnacentral:tRNA from 1 species
UCUCUGUUAGUAUAUCGGUUAGUACACGCGCCUGUCAUUUGCCAUAUGACCGCGCGAAAGCGGGGUUCGACUCCCCGACAGAGAG